UCCGGGAACACAGAAAUGGUACUUUUAAUCCCAAAUUCUAUGUCAUUUAUAAAUAGAUUAAACAGUAAGGGGCCCAACACUGAACCUUGGGGGACACCACUAACAACC